CCAGACAGCCAGGAGGUUGGCUUAGAAGCAGCCAUCCUUUAAAGAAAGCGUAAUAGCUCACUGGUCGAGUCGGUCUGCGCGGAAGAUGUAACGGGGCUAAACUAUGCACCGAAGCUGCGGAUUCAAAAUUUAUUUUGAGUGGUAGGGGAGCGUUCUGUAAGCGGUUGAAGGUGUACCGGGAGGUAUGCUGGACGUAUCAGAAGUGCGAAUGCUGACAUGAGUAACGAUAAUGCGGGUGAAAAACCCGCACG
rnacentral:rRNA from 1 species